GAUGAACGCUGGCGGCGUGCUUAACACAUGCAAGUCGAACGAAGAGAAUUCGAGUGAAGCUUCGGCGGAACGAAAAUUUUCUUAGUGGCGGACGGGUGAGUAACGUGUGGGCAACCUGCCCUUUACUGGGGAAUAAUCAUUGGAAACGAUGACUAAUACCGCAUGUCAUCAUUAGGAGGCAUCUCCUGAUGAAAAAAGGAUUUACUCGGUAAAGGAUGGGCCCGCAUCUGAUUAGCUAGUUGGUGAGAUAACAGCCCACCAAGGCAACGAUCAGUAGCCGACCUGAGAGGGUGAUCGGCCACAUUGGGACUGAGACACGGCCCAA
rnacentral:rRNA from 1 species